rnacentral:lncRNA from 1 species
GAAAGUCCCAUUUAUUCUAAGAUUUGAAUGGGGACAUAGCUUUCCUGAGACAUGAAGUUUAAUUUUUUUUUCUUUUGGAGUUACCAGUGAUUUAACCCAUUCUGUGAUCUGGGGUUGGCAUAUCAUCUCAGGCUGACUGCCCUGCUGGGAACCUGCCAUUAUCCUGC